AUUGAACGCUGGCGGCAGGCCUAACACAUGCAAGUCGAGCGAGCGGCGGACGGGUGAGCAAUGUAUGGGGACCUGCCCGAUAGAGGGGGAUAAGUACUGGAAACGGUGACUAAUACCGCAUACUAUGGGUUGACCCAUUAUGGGAUUAGCUAGUAGGUGGGGUAAAGGCUCACCUAGGCGACGAUCCCUAGCUGGUCUGAGAUGAUGAGCGGCCACACUGGGACUGAGAAACGGCCCAGAAUCCUACGGGAGGCAGCAGUGGGGAAUAUUGGACAAUGGGCGCAAGCCUGAUGCAGCCAUGCCGCGUGUGUGAAGAAGGCCUUAGGGUUGUAAAGUACUUUCAGCGGGGAGGCGUUACCCGCAGAGGAAGCACCGGCUAACUACGUGCCAGCAGCCGCGGUAAUAC
rnacentral:rRNA from 1 species